UACGGAGGAUCCAAGCGUUAUCCGGAAUCAUUGGGUUUAAAGGGUCCGUAGGCGGUUUAGUAAGUCAGUGGUGAAAUCCCAUCGCUCAACGGUGGAACGGCCAUUGAUACUGCUAGACUUGAAUUAUUAGGAAGUAACUAGAAUAUGUAGUGUAGCGGUGAAAUGCUUAGAGAUUACAUGGAAUACCAAUUGCGAAGGCAGGUUACUACUAAUUGAUUGACGCUGAUGGACGAAAGCGUGGGUAGCGAACAGG
rnacentral:rRNA from 1 species